rnacentral:rRNA from 1 species
UACGUAGGGGGCAAGCGUUGUCCGGAUUUAUUGGGCGUAAAGAGCGUGUAGGCGGCUUUGCAAGUCCGUUGUGAAAACUCGAGGCUCAACCUCGAGACGCCGGUGGAAACUGCAAAGCUAGAGUCCGGAAGAGGAGAGUGGAAUUCCUGGUGUAGCGGUGAAAUGCGCAGAUAUCAGGAAGAGCACCCGUGGCGAAGGCGGCUCUCUGGGACGGUACUGACGCUGAGACGCGAAAGCGUGGGGAGCGAACAGG